AGGCUAUUUCAAUAUUACAAACAAACACUCCAAUUUUAUUUAUAUGUAUAGAUUAAGUUUUUACAGGAAAAUCCGUGGUAUCAAAAUGAUGAUGAUGAUACAGGAAAACGUAUAUAAUGAUUUGUCAUAUUAAAGAAUAUCGCAUUUGCGUUUGUUGGCGGUUAUUGGCUUGUCGUAUUUACCAAGAUGCAGUAUGUAACCUUGUUGACAUUAUUUGGCGUAGCGCUUCAAGCGUCGCUGGGAUGUGUACAAGAUGAACAGGGAGUACUUAACGACAGCAAUGACGGACAACCAAAAAACUUAAUAGAUUUUCUCGUAGCACCAGUAAUACAGAGAGAAAAACGCGCCAGCAUUCACGAAUUAGUACAAUGCCCGAUAGGUUAUGAUAUAAUAAUAUCAAAUGAUACCUUAACUUGCAUAGAAAAUGACGGUCUUGUUUAGUACCGAAGUAUUAAAAUAGACCGUGUCCUGUAGAACAAAUAAAAACGGUUAAUGUAAGAAAAUUUAAAGAUUUGAAAAAAAAAGUAUUAUAUUCGACUUCAAUAGUGUUUUUUUUUAUUGCUUAGAUGGGUGGACGAGCUCACAGCCCACCUGAUGUUAAGUGGUUACUGGAGCCCAUAGACAUCCACAACGCAAAUGCGCCACCCACCUUGAGACAUAAGUUCUAAGGUCUUAAGUAUAGUUACAACGGCUGCCCUACCCUUCAAACCGAAACGCAUUACUGCUUCACGGCAGAAAUAGGCAGGUUGGUGGUACCUACCCGCUCGGACUCACAAAUAUAUUAACUAGAUUCCGAUUUGAAAUUCUAAAAUAUUUAUUGGCAUUUUAGUUGAGACGCAUACCAUAGAAAACGCAUAGUUUAAAAUAAGCGUUUUUCACGUAUUUAGUAACACAUCUACAUUAUAAAACAAUCAAACCACGAUAGUAUUAGUAGUUUAUCGAACAACAAACAAACUAUGUUUUUUUUUAUCGUAUGUGUAUAUGCGCACAAAAACUACAAAAAAAAAAGAAAUCGGUCAACGAGCACUACUGCAACUGCACCGACACUUCUCUCGCAGCAACCUUACGCACAACCCCUGUGUACCUGUAUAUUGUCACGGCCGUUAUUUGAAAUAUAAUUUAGAAGGAAAAAUAAAA